CAGAUUUUAGUUUAUUAAAAUAUUAAUUUUGGAGAUUAAAGAUGAUUGUAGUUAAAUCUGA
rnacentral:tRNA from 1 species